rnacentral:misc_RNA from 1 species
ACGAAGUGCUGCGACGGAGGUGACAGCUGCGGUUGAGCAGCCGAAUCGGUGUUCCACGUGCAGGAAACGCGUCGGAUUGACCGGGUUUAAGUGUCGGUGCGGGACAACGUUCUGUGCGACCCAUAGAUACCCGGAGAAGCAUGGCUGCACCUUCGAUUUCAAGAAGGUUGGAAGAGAGGAGAUCGCGAGGGCCAAUCCUCUCGUCGUAGCUGAGAAGCUGGAAAAGAUUUAAUAUGGAGCGAUGGAUCUCCUAA